rnacentral:rRNA from 1 species
GUGUUGAGGAAGAUAAUGACGGUACUCAACAAGGAAGUGACGGCUAACUACGUGCCAGCAGCCGCGGUAAAACGUAGGUCACAAGCGUUGUCCGGAAUUACUGGGUGUAAAGGGAGCGCAGGCGGGAAGACAAGUUGGAAGUGAAAUCCAUGGGCUCAACCCAUGAACUGCUUUCAAAACUGUUUUUCUUGAGUAGUGCAGAGGUAGGCGGAAUUCCCGGUGUAGCGGUGGAAUGCGUAGAUAUCGGGAGGAACACCAGUGGCGAAGGCGGCCUACUGGGCACCAACUGACGCUGAGGCUCGAAAGUGUGGGUAGCAAACAGGAUUAGAUACCCUGGUAGUCCACACUGUAAACGAUGAUUACUAGGUGUUGGAGGAUUGACCCCUUCAGUGCCGCAGUUAACACAAUAAGUAAUCCACCUGGGGAGUACGACCGCAAGGUUGAAACUCAAAGGAAUUGACGGGGGCCCGCACAAGCAGUGGAGUAUGUGGUUUAAUUCGACGCAACGCGAAGAACCUUACCAAGUCUUGACAUCCUGCGACGGACAUAGAAAUAUGUUUUUCCUUCGGGACGCAGAGACAGGUGGUGCAUGGUUGUCGUCAGCUCGUGUCGUGAGAUGUUGGGUUAAGUCCCGCAACGAGCGCAACCCUUAUGGUCAGUUACUACGCAAGAGGACUCUGGCCAGAUCGCG